rnacentral:rRNA from 1 species
GCCGGACCUGACUGCUAUCGGAUUGAUACUAAGCCAUGCGAGUCUUUGUAGUAAUACAAGGCAGACGGCUCAGUAACACGUAGUCAACCUACCCUAUGGACAAGAAUAAUCUCGGGAAACUGGGCAUAAUUCUUGAUAGAUCAUAAUGCCUGGAAUGGUUUAUGGUUAAAAUGAUUCGUCGCCAUAGGAUGGGACUGCGGCCUAUCAGCUUGUUGGUGAGGUAAUGGCCCACCAAGGCGAUUACAGGUACGGGCUCUGAGAGGAGAAGCCCGGAGAUGGGUACUGAGACACGGACCCAGGCCCUAUGGGGCGCAGCAGGCGAGAAAACUUUGCAAUGUGCGAAAGCACGACAAGGUUAAUCCGAGUGAUUUCUGCUAAAGAAAUCUUUUGCCAGUCAUAAAACCACUGGUGAAUAAGGGGUGGGCAAGUUCUGGUGUCAGCCGCCGCGGUAAAACCAGCACCUCAAGUGGUCAGGAUGAUUAUUGGGCCUAAAGCAUCCGUAGCCGGCUUUGUAAGUUUUCGGUUAAAUCCAUGUGCUCAACGCAUGGGCUGCCGAAAAUACUGCAUGGCUAGGGAGUGGGAGAGGUAGACGGUACUCAGUAGGAAGGGGUAAAAUCCUUUGAUCUAUUGAUGACCACCUGUGGCGAAGGCGGUCUACCAGAACACGUUCGACGGUGAGGGAUGAAAGCUGGGGGAGCAAACCGGAUUAGAUACCCGGGUAGUCCCAGCUGUAAACGAUGCAGACUCGAUGAUGCAUUGGCAUAAUAGCCAGUGCAGUGUCGCAGGGAAGCCGUUAAGUCUGCCGCCUGGGAAGUACGUACGCAAGUAUGAAACUUAAAGGAAUUGGCGGGGGAGCACCACAAGGGGUGAAGCCUGCGGUCAAU